UGUUGUUCCUUCUUUGUCUAACAUAUUGGUUUAUUCUUUGUCGACGUUGUUCUUGUGAUUCACGCCUACAUGAAUUUUCCAUUCUCUGUAAUGACACUUAACAUAAUGUUAGACAAUUUUACGCAAUUAUAAUAUUUAAAUUAGAAGAAUAUGAAUAUUUCUAUUUCUUUAUUAUAUAUCAGUGUUAAUGCUUUUAGAUGUAUGUAAAUAGUGAAAACAAACAAUAAUAGAAAACAAAUAUGUUAUUAAAAUUUAACUAUACUUAUAGUUCAAACUUUGAACAAUAGAUUAUAUAACCAUAUUUUUUUAAUUUUCAAAGUUAACAACGUGAAAAAAUAUUUCUUUAUGUAGGUAAUAAAGUUGAAAUUUAAGUAUAGUUACUAAAAACUUUUAAUUAUAGACCAGAUAAUAAUUACAGAAAAAAAAAUUAUAUGAAAAGGAAACUAAAUCAUACGAAUUAAACAUAUAUUAAUUAAGUAUGAUUUGAAUAAACGAAAUAUUAAGAGCAAUAGGGGCUAUACUUGCUAAUAAUAUAAUUGAAGCAAUAAUCCAACGGCCAGCAUACAUUUCAUCAGAAUAACUAUUCUGACCGAAUCCAAACCGUCCACAUACGGUUCCCUAAAGCCCAAUCUCAACCGUUCAUCUAAUAUUUAUAAACUAAGGUAAUUCCUGAACCCUAGUGUUGUUACAUUUUGCUGCCUCACUCUUUGCUGCGGAUUAUUCAGAAGCUCGCAUCUGCUUAAGGUGAGAUAUGAACCUGACACCCUUUUAGAUUCUUAGUUAACCUUCCAAUUCUUAACCUUAAUCGAUUGAAAAUGAAAUGAAAGUUCACAUUUUUAGAUUCUACUUUAAUUAACCUUAAUUCGUUGUUUUGAGAUAUCGCUGUUAUUAGCUUCAUCUAUUGGUCAGUUUUGUUUGUUGUGGUCAAUGGGUACAACCCUAGUUUAAUAAUUUGUAGUUUUUGAAGUGAUUUGUAUUGUUUGAAUGAGAUUCAAAGAUAUUUAUACCACAUUUAGCGUAAGUGAUGGAAUUAUUCAUUCUCAUGGGUUUGUUAAUUUAUAACCUGAUUGUGUCUGUUGAGGAAGUUUAAAAAUUGUUGUAUUGUUAUCGUUGUUUUAUAUAUAUUUUUUAAUAUGAUACAAUUAAUGAUGAGAAAUAAUCACAUAUAUUAUAUGACGUUGCUUUUGAUGACAUAAAUAAUAUAUAAUGGAUACAUAAUUUAAAGUACUGAAUACACAAAGUGUUGAUCUAAUGGUGUAAAACAUUGCUAGAUUUAAAUGACAACAAAAAAGUCAAAUAUUCAAUUCAUGUGAGCGACGUUUUUUAGAUGGGGUAGCCACGCACCCCGAAAGUCUAAAAAUAUUUAAUUUUUUACCCAAAAUAUGAGAAAAAUAAUAUUAGUAAUAGCAAAAAAAUAAUUAAUUUAAAGUAAUGGUUCUUAGUAUCUAUCAUCCAAUACAGAUAUAAAGGUACUAAUAUAUCUUAGUGAGAAUUAUCAUUAGCAACCAUCCUACAAUACUCAAAUAAAAAUUGGUUCCGGAUUUUUUUAAAUAAGAAUCAAGUUUAAUUAUCAUAAUUCGUUGAUUUUGUACCCAAAAAAUUAAUUCGUUGGUUGUGAUAAUAAUUUUGAUUUUUAUGUAAACACCAUAAAUAAUGGCCAUAAUAUUUAAGAGAUAAAUUAUUUAAAUUAAUUAUCAUUCAAAACAUCUAAUGAAUAAAUAGUUUAGUGCUUAUUCUAAUCUAUGCACCAAUAGAAAAAUUAAAAUCAUAAUAAUAAAAAAAUUACUUCAAGUUUUUUAAAGGUCAAUUGAGUUUAACUAUAGACCACAUAAUAAUUUCAUCAAAAAAUUACAUGAAAAGGAAAACAUAUUUAUUUUAAUUUUCUUUGAGCACAUAAUAAUAUAUUAUGACAAAGUAUCUCUAUAUAAAAAGCAUUAGUGAGGAAUAGUAGGGAACUGAAUGAUAUAAAUUAAAUAUAAAUGAGCAUAUUAGAGAUUAUGCAAAAAAAAUAAGGGCAAUUUUGGAACCUAAAUAUUUGCUUGCUUCCCUUUUUUAAACAUAGAAACCCUAAGUUGUAAAAACAUAAGUCACUGAUACUUUUUUGGAAAAAUUUCUCUCUUCACCUUCUUCUUCCAAUCUGACCCUUCAAACCCUUACUCUUCUGAUUCCUCCUCAACGCCUGAACGAUUCAACAAUUGAACAACCCCAAACGUAAUACUCAACCAGAUCUCGCGUGUUUUAUAUAUUGGGAGCAACUCAUAUUUUUUGGUAUUCCAGUUUCACAUAAUGAUUUGUAAGUUCUCUUUAUUCUCCAUUAUGAAUUUCUUAUUCAUCUAUGUCUAUUGUUACGUUGUGGUUAUAUGUUUUAGAUUUUCUCACGUUCUCUCUUAUUUGGCAUUUCUUGCGUUUUGUCUCUCUUACUGUUUCCCUUAACGAUCUGACUUCAACGAUCUCUUUUUUUUUUUGUUUUUUUCUUCUAUCGCUUCUGGAUCCCGGUCCUUUUGAAAAUCAGAACAUCGAUCUGACUUGUGUUUUUAAAUAUUAUACAUAUCGGUAGCCGGAUAGGGCAGGUUGGAGGUGACUUUGGUGCCUGUUUAAAUGGGAUGGUUCAGCAGUUUUACAUGCUAUUGCAUGUGCCGUAUAAGCAUGAGGAAGAUGAUGUGAUGGGAUCGGUUUUUAUCGGAGGGGAUAUGGGUAGUGAGAGGAUUGGGAUUGUUGCUAUGAGAGAUGAUUNNNNNNNNNNNNNNNNNNNNNNNNNNNNNNNNNNNNNNNNNNNNNNNNNNNNNNNNNNNNNNNNNNNNNNNNNNNNNNNNNNNNNNNNNNNNNNNNNNNNUUUAGAUGUGAACAGUUAUUUAGUGUUUAGAUGCGAACAAUUAUUUUCAUGUUUUUAGGUUAAUUCUUUUAUGUAUAAUCAGUUAUUUACAAUUUAGAUGCGAAAAUUUAUUUUGUGUUUUACGAAUUUAUAAUGCAGUUCUAGAUUUUAUAUUAUUAUUAAUAUAUAAUAUAUAUAAUAUGUUGAUGUGUUCAUUUUAUAUUGUCCCAGAUUUUAUAGUGUUGUGUAAUAUAGAGUCAUUACAAAAUAUGUAAUUUUAAGUAACAUGUCUUGUCCCUUAGGACUUAGUAGUUAGUAAAAUGAAAAACUACUUUUUAUGAUCAACGAAGAUAUUUUUGUGUGAUUAAUAAUCUGACAUAAUAAAAUAUGACUUAGACUUACCAGGAUGAUGAAUUUGCACAACAACAAUGCAAUGUAAUUUGUUGAUGUGUUGAGUUAGUUGACAUUGUUCAUGUUGUGUUCAUAUGCUUGGCAAUACUGACAUACAUAGAAAGAAUCAUUAACAAAUAUAAAGAGAGUCGUUAACAAAUAUAAAAAGUCAUUAACAAAUACAUAAUUUUAACUAACAUCUAUUGUCCCUUAGGCCUCAACACUUCCAUAGUCAAACAUCAUCAUAUAUAUGUAACUGUGUUUUUUUUAUUUUUCAUAAUACACUAAUUUGCUUCCUACAUCAAACCCAAUAGGUUUAUGAAAGUAAAAUAUGUUUUGUCUUUUCUAUGUUCUUAUUGAUUAAAUGCAUUGAUAUAGAGUGUUGAUAUGUAUUAUAUAAAAACUUUAAUAAUAGAAAGCAACAAAACCCCAAUUUGAGGAUUUCAAUUUAAUGUAUGUCAGAUAAUUGAAGUUCACACGAAAUUGAAGAUAAAUAUAAGAUGAAAACUACAAAAAGUUUUAAAUUAUGGUAUUAGAAGGUUUAAUUUUUUGUUUCAGUACAAAAUAUUGAAUUGAUGGAUCAAAUAUUUGACCUUAAUUGCAUUUUCCUAUUUUUUGUACUAAAAUUUAUGUAUGCAUUAAUUGUUAUGCGUUUUAUUUGCCUCCCUUUCUAAGUAGAUUUUCAUUUUAAAAUAAAUCUAUCAGAUUUUCCUUGUGAUAUGAUUUGUUAUUUAUUUUUUGUUCAUGUGUUGAUUCACUUAGCCAUAUUUAUUUUGUUUAAUUUGUUAAUUUCGUUCAGAAAUGUGUUGAUUCACUUGGCCAUAUUUGAGUAAGCUUAACAAUUUAACAAAAAAGUAUGACAUACCUUGAUACUAUGGACUGAUAUCUGGAAUGUGUUUUAUACUUUCUCCUUUGGUUGAUGAAUUUAUGCACUUCUGUAAAUUUCGUUCACAAAAUGUGUUAAUAAACUUUUGUAACGUUAAUAAUUUAACAUGAAAAAGUAUGACAUACCUUGAUACUAUGGACUGAUCUCUGGAAUGUGUUUUAUACUUUCUCCUUUUGUUGUUGAAUUUGUGCAGUACUGUAAAUUUCGUUCAUAGCAUGUAAGUUAGUGUAACAAAUUCAAAAAUAUGCAGGAAAAAAUGAGCAGGAUGUCCUUGUGUGGAGGACAGUUUCUUUAUGGUUAUUGUUGAAGAUGAAGAAGAUGAAGAUAACUAAUUGUUAUUAUUGCCUUAUCCAUUACUAUAACUAGCGUGUUGACAUAACUUACCCACAUUCCCGUCAAAACAAAACUGUUGUGGCAGUUUAAAAAGAUACAUUAAUUAAAUUAACAUACUUCAUAAUCUAUAGAGAAAUGAUUUUUUAGACUUAUAAAGGGUAAAAAAGGAAUAGAAAUUACUCCAGUGACAGUUAAAUGAAGUUUUCCCUUUAUAUAAUGGUAUAGAUAUAUAUAUACUCAAAUUUUUCUCGUUGGUAGAAUACAGGACAAACAUGCGAUAAGCACAAGGAGGCGACACGUGUCAUACAUGCGCUGACUUACAACAUUACAACACAGAAG
rnacentral:lncRNA from 1 species